rnacentral:rRNA from 1 species
CAGCAGGCGCGAAACCUUUACACUGCACGACAGUGCGAUNGGGGGAUCCCAAGNGCACAGGCAUAGCGCCUGUGCUUUUCGGUACCCUAAGGCGGUACCAGAAUAAGGGCUGGGCAAGACCGGUGCCAGCCGCCGCGGUAAUACCGGCAGCCCAAGNGAUGGCCGAUCUUAUUGGGCCUAAAGCGUCCGUAGCUGGCCACGCAAGUCCAUCGGGAAAUCCACCUGCCCAACAGGUGGACGCCCGGUAGAAACUGCGUGGCUUGGGACCGGAAGGCGCGACGGGUACGUCCGGGGUAGGAGUGAAAUCCCGUAAUCCUGGACGGACCGCCGAUGGCGAAAGCACGUCGCGAGAACGGAUCCGACAGUGAGGGACGAAAGCCAGGGUCUCGAACCGGAUUAGAUACCCGGGUAGUCCUGGCCGUAAACAAUGCCUGCUAGGUGUGGCUCCCACUACGAGUGGGUGCUGUGCCGUAGGGAAGCCGCUAAGCAGGCCGC